rnacentral:tRNA from 1 species
AGUGUUAUGGCUGAUUUAGGCGGUAAAUUGUAAAUUUAUUUAAAAAAAUUAAAAUUUUUUAACAUUA